ensembl:lncRNA
CACCUCAGUCUGUUGGGUACUGCCUUGAGAAUAUCAGAGGCACUUUCUCUGUAUAGAAGCUUGGUCUCUCUCUGGUAGAUGGGUAAGUGCAGGCUCUGGGGAGGGACAGAUUGCAAGGACUGCUCUCUCCUCCUAGUUUUGCACAAACAUUUGUCUGAUUUGGGGAGCAUGGCACCCCACUCCAGUACUCUUGCCUGGGAAAUCCCAUGGAUGGAGGAGCCUGAUUUGGCCUCUUUGGUCUCUUCUAGAAGGAUGUUGAACUUGUUUCCAGUGCACAUGUUUUGGGCAGGUGGAGUGGCCAGACAGGUGAGUGUGAGUAAGAAAUUAAAGUGGGCUUGGGAGGAGAAAGCAUAAGAUUCAAGAUCAGUUACCUUUAAAAAGAUGUUAAAAAAAAGACAUUAAUGCAUAUAUAUGGAAUGUAGAAAAAUGGUACAGAUGAACCUAUUUGCAGGGCAGGAAUAGAGACACAGACAUGCAGAAGCGACGUGUGAACACAGCGGGGGAAGGAGAGCAUGGAGUGAACUGAGAGAACAGCGCUGACGUAUAUACACUACCCUGUGUAAAAUAGACGGCUAGUGGGGAGCCCUGUAUGUCGCAGGGAGCUCACGCUCUGUGAUGAC